rnacentral:rRNA from 2 species
CUCGCGAGAGCAAGCGGACCUCAUAAAGUGCGUCGUAGUCCGGAUUGGAGUCUGCAACUCGACUCCAUGAAGUCGGAAUCGCUAGUAAUCGUGGAUCAGAAUGCCACGGUGAAUACGUUCCCGGGCCUUGUACACACCGCCCGUCACACCAUGGGAGUGGGUUGCAAAAGAAGUAGGUAGCUUAACCUUCGGGAGGGCGCUUACCACUUUGUGAUUCAUGACUGGGGUGAAGUCGUAACAAGGUAACCGUAGGGGAACCUGCGGUUGGAUCACCUCCUUACCUUAAAGAAGC